rnacentral:rRNA from 1 species
AGAGUUUGAUCAUGGCUCAGAACGAACGCUGGCGGCGUGGAUAAGACAUGCAAGUCGAGCGCUGAUUACGAGGUAGCAAUAUUUCGUAGUUGGAGCGGCGCAAGGGUGCGUAACACGUGGGUAAUCUGCCGUGAAGCCUGGAAUAACUUGCUGAAAGGCGAGCUAAUACCGGAUGUGAAAAUUGGGAGGCAUCUCUUGAUUUUCAAAGUUGGGGACUGUAAGGCCUGACGCUUCACGAUGAACCCGCGGCCUAUCAGCUAGUUGGUGAGGUAACGGCUCACCAAGGCUAAGACGGGUAGCUGGUCUGAGAGGACGACCAGCCACACUGGAACUGAGACACGGUCCAGACACCUACGGGUGGCAGCAGUCGAGAAUUUUUCACAAUGGGCGAAAGCCUGAUGGAGCGACGCCGCGUGGGGGAUGAAUGGCUUCGGCCCGUAAACCCCUGUCAUUUGCGAACAAACCUUGUUAUUUAAAAGAUGACAAGCUGAUUGUAGCGAAAGAGGAAGGGACGGCUAACUCUGUGCCAGCAGCCGCGGUAAUACAGAGGUCCCAAGCGUUGUUCGGAUUCACUGGGCGUAAAGGGUGCGUAGGUGGCGGGGGUAAGUCGGAUGUGAAAUCUCCGAGCUCAACUCGGAAAUGGCAUUGGAAACUACCUUGCUCGAGGGUUGGAGGGGGGACUGGAAUACUUGGUGUAGCAGUGAAAUGCGUAGAUAUCAAGUGGAACACCAGUGGCGAAGGCGAGUCCCUGGACAACUCCUGACACUGAGGCACGAAAGCUAGGGGAGCAAACAGGAUUAGAUACCCUAGUAGUCC